GAUGUGCAAUUUGCAUUCGGUGGCGAGGGCAGCAUAGAAUCGAGCUGCGAAGUCGGAUUUUGCAUUGCUUGAGCCGGAGGUGCAAGGGGGGGGGAGAAGCGAUUAGAGUCGGUGCAUCAGGGUCGGCGCGCCCGGGCCCGGGCUGCGGGUUGAUGGACAGCUGCGCGGACCCUGGAUCCGGGCUGCAGCGGCAAUGAAGCAGCGCCGCCGCCGCCGCCGCUUGCAGCAAACCCGAGGCACCAUUGCAACCGAGCAGAAUGCAUGUGCAAAUCUGACCAUCCCGCGCCCUCAAAUGCAAGGGCUGGCCUCGUGUGUGAGGAGAUCUGACUAAAGAUGGCAGCAAGCAGCCCGGAGAGUGGCUGCAAACACUCAUAAACGUAUCCAGGUGUGUGGCAGGUGAUUGCGGUGACGAGCUCAGCUCCAGGGGCAGCAAGGUGCUUGACCAGACAACGAUGGCUGUACAACUCAUGGCUGAGCCUCCCUUCAGCUUGCUCACGGUAAGAGAGGCUCCUCACUCCACACAGCGAACUCUUCACCACGCCCCGCAGGAGAUGGAGGCUUUUAUUUUAAUGUUUAACCCAUCAAAAUGCAGAAACGCCCCCUUUUAUACCUGA